rnacentral:rRNA from 1 species
AGUGAACGCUGGCGGUAGGCCUAACACAUGCAAGUCGAACGGCAGCACAGGAGAGCUUGCUCUCUGGGUGGCGAGUGGCGGACGGGUGAGGAAUACAUCGGAAUCUACCUUUUCGUGGGGGAUAACGUAGGGAAACUUACGCUAAUACCGCAUACGACCUACGGGUGAAAGUGGGGGACCGCAAGGCCUCACGCGAUUAGAUGAGCCGAUGUCCGAUUAGCUAGUUGGCGGGGUAAUGGCCCACCAAGGCGACGAUCGGUAGCUGGUCUGAGAGGAUGAUCAGCCACACUGGAACUGAGACACGGUCCAGACUCCUACGGGAGGCAGCAGUGGGGAAUAUUGGACAAUGGGCGCAAGCCUGAUCCAGCCAUACCGCGUGGGUGAAGAAGGCCUUCGGGUUGUAAAGCCCUUUUGUUGGGAAAGAAAUCCUGUCGAUUAAUACUCGGUGGGGAUGACGGUACCCAAGGAAUAAGCACCGGCUAACUUCGUGCCAGCCGCCGCGGUAAGAC